rnacentral:lncRNA from 1 species
AAUACCAAUCAAAAAAAAAUGAUCAGUAAUAAUCUCCUGCAUGACAGAUCGUCCUUAGAGCAAGUGACAAAGAAUUUGAUGGUUGGUAUCCGAGACCCAAAUUCGAAUCCUAGUUGAUUUACAUUUUCAGCUAAGUUUAUUUCUAAAUAAAAUAAACGAAGCGGAUAGCGUGCUACCUAUUUCUAAAAAAAAAAAAAAUCUACUGCAUGCACGCAUCUCACCUCUGGCUCCUCGUACGUACUUUAUUUUAUUUUGUUUUAUUUUUCAAAGCCAUGUAAAUAAUGUAUAGGGUAAACUUCAAAUACCAUCUUUGUGGUUUCGUAGUUUCUCACUUUAGUAUUCCGUUGUUUAAACUGUAUCAAGUUAAUACCUCGUGGUUUAAUUUUUUUUUUCUUUUCGUCAAACUCCUCCAUUAAUAUUUCAUUAAAUUAUAUACAAAAAACUUCAGAUACCCUAUCUAAAUUUAUCGAAUAUUUACUUUAGUAUUUUUUUAAUUUUAAUUUUGUCUCUGAUUUAACAAAAAAAAUAAUAAAAUGGAUAAUAAAAAGAAAAAAAUAAAAUCAAGAUACUAAAUUGAUAUAUUUUAAACCAUAGGGUACUAAAAUGAGAAAGUGCGAAACUAUAUUGAUGGUAUUUGAAGUUUUUUCUAAUCUAUAAUAUGUUGUGUUU